AUAAAUUAUUGUCAAGUGUUCACACUUAUUGGUUGUUUGAGUAGAUAAAUAUAAAUUUGGGUUUGAGGUGUUGGGUUAAACUUGGACUCGUAAGGGUCUGUAGCUCAGUUGGUUAGAGCACACGCUUGAUAAGCGUGGGGUCGGUGGUUCAAGUCCACCCAGACCCACCAUAGGGGGUGUAGCUCAGCUGGGAGAGCACCUGCUUUGCAAGCAGGGGGUCAUCGGUUCGAUCCCGUUCACCUCCACCAUUAAGAAUGGAAAUUUAAUUUAUUUAUUGUUCUUUAAAAAUAAAAAUUGGGUAAGAUUGUGCUUAAAGCAUAAUUAAAGUAACUAUAAGAGUGAUGACAAACACCAAUCUUUUUUUUGUGAUGGUGGUGGUAAGUUUUCAAGAUUAUAG
rnacentral:tRNA from 1 species